CAGCAGCCGCGGGAAUACGUAGGUGGCAAGCGUUGUCCGGAAUUAUUGGGCGUAAAGGGCUCGCAGGCGGUUUCUUAAGUCUGAUGUGAAAGCCCCCGGCUCAACCGGGGAGGGUCAUUGGAAACUGGGAAACUUGAGUGCAGAAGAGGAGAGUGGAAUUCCACGUGUAGCGGUGAAAUGUGUAGAGAUGUGGAGGAACACCAGUGGCGAAGGCGACUCUCUGGUCUGUAACUGACGCUGAGGAGCGAAAGCGUGGGGAGCAAACAGGAUUAGAUACCCGCGUAGUCCCUGUCUCUUAUAC
rnacentral:rRNA from 1 species